UACGUAGGGGCUAGCGUUAUCCGGAAUUACUGGGCGUAAAUGGUGCGUAGGUGGUUUCUUAAGUCAGAGGUGAAAGGCUACGGCUCAACCGUAGUAAGCCUUUGAAACUGGGAAACUUGAGUGCAGGAGAGGAGAGUGGAAUUCCUAGUGUAGCGGUGAAAUGCGUAGAUAUUAGGAGGAACACCAGUUGCUAAGGCGGCUCUCUGGACUGUAACUGACACUGAGGCACGAAAGCGUGGGGAGCAAACAGGAUUAGAUACCCCUGUAGUCCCUGAG
rnacentral:rRNA from 1 species